rnacentral:lncRNA from 1 species
UUGCAAACAAACAAUAGUUACAUCAUCGACAACGCAAACUGAGUUUUGUCACACCCGGAUUUAGGGGGGCAAACCUAGGCGCGACUCACAUGUGUGCUAGGAUCAAGUCUCACACAUAUGAUGACUUAUGGUACAGAAACGAAUGUCACAUUAUUAAUAUAUAACGAAGUUCUGUACAAAAUAGAUAAAUAAUUACAUCAUACGAAGACAACGAUCCAGCAACCAAAGUUGACUGGGAGAUGACGACCUAGACCUCUCACAAAUCCAUCGUGACAUCCUUCAUGCUUCUCAUCAUGUUGUACUUGUUCUUGACCUGGGGGAUGUGAGUACAACAAGAGUGAGCUCAUAUACGUUCAUAGCUCAACAAGUUGUGGGGAAUAAUGUGCAUGAGCUCACUUGCAUUGGGGCUCAUGUGAAGUGUAAGGCUUACUAAAGAGGAUGGUUAAAGCUGAGCAUCGCUUUUAAAGUUGUCAAAAUUUUAUUAGCAGUUACUAAGUAUAAGUAGAUACCAACCCAAAUAAUAAGAGAUCACAAUUAAUAAUAACACCCACGAUGCAAUGCAUAUGACAAAUUAAUUAGUUUAGUUCCAUAAAUUAAUCGUGCGAGAGUCUUGAGUCGCUCUUGACCGUGAGCACGGUUGAUAUACCAGUUUUACACUCUAAAGAGGUUGCGCAUAUUUACCCACAAGUUGUGUUACCCAUUUGUCAUGGGGUUGAUCAGACCCCAUACACCUCUACUGAGGAAGCGAGGCAGGGUAGCACUAUGAUGCCUUUCCAAAGUUUCACUAGUUCGAUAAUACCCACUACGGUUUUAGGACGAAGGAAGCAUAGGAAUCCCUCGUUUGAACUGCCAUCACAAUAGUUCAACCCGAGAACCUCCCUAUACUUUGCAGCGACGCCUCCCCGCUUGCCCCUUUCGGGUAAGGUAAUCUCUCCCUAGCUUUCCUAAUUACUUGGCCAAGGGCGUCCCAUUCCACCCUUGUGGUAGCACAGUUAUCUCAAGUUAAGCUUCAUGUUCCAAUUAACACAAUGAUCUUGUCAUGAACAGUAAUUACAAUAACAACAUAAUUGGAACAUUAUCAUAAUAUAACAUUAAUCCCAAAACCAGGUAGAGCAAUAGCAAUACUACCCAAACGUUCAUUUGUAUGCAAGGUGCGGGAUAAACAAUACUAGGGAAACCUAUUAGAUCCCAUCAAACUAACCUGAGCAUGUCACAGUGAUUAAUAGGAACAUUAUUAGGUAGAGAGAAAAGUGAUCAAGGGCACAACUUGCCUUAGACUCGAAAUUCCUAGGUAUUUCACUAACUUGGUCUUCAAGUGACUCUUAACCUCGCUGUUACUCGUAGUAGUACAAACAAACAAGGUAUAGGCAAAAUUAACAUCACACCAAACAUGAGAACAUGUUGAAUAAUAAUUAUCUACGUAUCAUAACGAGAUCAUAGGUUCGAUAACCACUAAAUUCAGAGUUACGGUUAAAGAGUUAUGAUUUUUCGAAGUUUUAAGUGCUAGAUAUAGAGUAAAUUAAGUGCAUAAUUUUUAACCUAUGUUUCAUAACAAAAUAAGGUUACUAGAUGAUGAACAAUAUUAAUAUGAAUUUAAUGCAACUAGAAUGGAUUAAAAAGGAGUUAGAAUGAAUUACUUAUGGAUUAAACAAGAUUCUAGAAUUAUUUCUAUAUAGAAAAUCAUUUUGAAUUAUUUCUUAUGAAUAAACCAAGACCAAAGGACUGCGACCACAAUUUUAUAUAGGUUCAGGGUCUAUUUUGUAAAUCCCAAGACCUAUUUGCAUGGAUCCUGGAAUACGCGUGACCGCGGGUUGAUUCCUAAGUUCUUUAGGGUCUCUUUUACAAUUAUACCGCGGCGAAGGGGUACGAGUCGAUCUCGGCCAUCCGAUCUAACUCAAGCGCCAGGAUUAAACAUUACCUAAAGUGAACUUAGGAGCCCUUGGAUCUAAAUCACACGGCCCACAAUACAUCCACGUUGUAAUCCAACCCGAACCCUCCGAUUACCAUCCAACGGUCUGGAUCACAUCCUUUGAAACACUAUCUCUAAUCUAAUCGCAACCACACGAUGGGAGAUCUACGUCCGACGCGAUCCCAGUCGAACCUUCACUCACACCGCCCAACCCAGGAUGGAGGCGCAUGGAUAGUCGCGGCGGCGCCAUGGCCGGGGUUCCCUCGAACCCGCUCCGGUGAUCGAAAACCUUAUCAGUGCAGUGAUACAUGUAGACGAGAAUCUGGCGAACCCGAGCGGGGUGACGUACCUGCGGAAGAAGCGACGAGGUGCCCUGCCCACAUAUGCGAGCGGCCACACGGUGGCACCAUCGCUCCGGCGAGCAAUUGCUACUGCUCGACUACCAAUCACGCCCCGGGAAAUCCACGAGCGCCUUCGUGAAGGCUUGGAGAAGCUCCAGACCACGACACACGGACCCCGUCGGUGGCGUAUGGGUGUAAUCGAUGGCGGCGGUGACUCGGCUUCCCUUCCCAAUUUGCUCAGCCCGCACGACGCCCCAAAUUAUCGAGUUUCCCUACGGUCGACUGGUCAAG